AGCCGGAUGGUGAAGUGGUAUCACACCUUACUCACAAGGCCGGUGAGGGGGUGGGUUGGUCGCGGCAGCAAACCAAUGAUCCGGGGGGCGUAAGGAGAUCGGGGGUUCGAUCCCCUCUUCGGCUG
rnacentral:tRNA from 2 species